rnacentral:lncRNA from 1 species
AAAAGAGAAAAAACAUAACUACUAGUCCGCCAUGCUUAAAUUACAUAUGUAUAAUUCUCACCAGCUGGGACAUUUUAUUUUCCAAGGAAGGAUCUGUAAUUCAAGUGAUUUGUUGCAUGUACAUUGCUUCACAACCAAUCCAGCUUUUGAUACCCUGCUCCAUUAAAAGAUUAUGCGGUGUGAUGCAGCAAUUUUUAUGAAGGUCAUAAAAAUGGCAGCAUCUUAUACACCAAAUAAAAU